GAUAAACGCUGGCGGCGUGCCUUAUGCAUGCAAGUCGAACGCACCGCAAGGUGAGUGGCGAACGGGUGAGUAACACGUAGGAACCUGCCUGGAAGUGGGGGAUAACUCCUCGAAAGAGGGGCUAAUACCGCAUACGGUCUUCGGACCAAAGCUUCGGCGCUUUCAGAGGGGCCUGCGGCGGAUUAGCUUGUUGGUGGGGUAACGGCCUACCAAGGCGACGAUCCGUAGCUGGUCUGAGAGGAUGGUCAGC
rnacentral:rRNA from 1 species